AUUGAACGCUGGCGGCAUGCUUUACACAUGCAAGUCGAACGGUAACAGCACUUCGGUGGCUGACGAGUGGCGAACGGGUGAGUAAUACAUCGGAACGUGCCUAGUAGUGGGGGAUAACUACUCGAAAGAGUAGCUAAUACCGCAUGAGAUCUAAGGAUGAAAGCAGGGGACCUUCGGGCCUUGCGCUACUAGAGCGGCUGAUGGCAGAUUAGGUAGUUGGUGGGAUAAAAGCUUACCAAGCCGACGAUCUGUAGCUGGUCUGAGAGGACGACCAGCCACACUGGGACUGAGACACGGCCCAGACUCCUACGGGAGGCAGCAGUGGGGAAUUUUGGACAAUGGGCGCAAGCCUGAUCCAGCAAUGCCGCGUGCAGGAUGAAGGCCUUCGGGUUGUAAACUGCUUUUGUACGGAACGAAAAGCCUUCUUCUAAUACAGGAGGGUCAUGACGGUACCGUAAGAAUAAGCACCGGCUAACUACGUG
rnacentral:rRNA from 1 species